CUGCGUUUGAACAGUAAACUCUGCAGCUUUCCGCGGGACGGAUCGCAGGAGAGGCCGACAGAACGUCUCAGUCCUCUUGUCUCAUGGCGAGGUCCAAGGUGUGGACCGGGAGGAGGACCAGCAGCAAUGUGUGCAGAUUUGGCGGUGACAAGACUGAGAAUGCCAGAGCCUCUCUCCAUGAGUCGGGUGGACACACUCGGAUCCGGUCUACUGCUCCCAGUGACACUGUGGACCGAUGGAAUGGUUCGCUGCUGGCCGGUGCCAUUGUACUGCCACUGAAAAUAGAGGACGACCACUGUAUUAGAAGAAUCCUCAAACCCAUGACCAGGACUGUAGUCAAGACCAAGUGGCUGGAGUCCAAAAGUCAAGACCAAGACCAAAGGCAGUCGAGACCAAGGCCAGAGAAGAAUCCAGCCCUGUUCCAGACUAUAAGAGGAAAUACGUGUUAAUAUGCUGUUGAGUUAGAUGGACAUAAUCAAUGAUUUUAAUGUCAAUAUUAAUCGUCUAACAUCAAAGUAAUAAAUACAUAGAAUUGAGGUUUGAGGACCAUUGUACUCAUGUUGCAUUCUCU
ensembl:lncRNA